UUACAUAAUGAUUACAUAUUCUCCAAGAUGUUCAGAACAACCUACUGCCCGAGUUCCUUCAAAAACUGUGUGCAAGUGUACCUAGGAGAAUUGAUGCUGUGUUGGAGGCAAAAAGGGGUCACACCAAAUAUUGAUUCAUUUAGAUUCCUCUUCUGUUCAUUCACUGCAUUUUGUUAAUUUAUGAAAAUAAACUAUUAGCACUUCCAUUUUUGAAAGAAUUCUUAGUUUA